CCUACGGGAGGCAGCAGUGGGGGAUAUUGCACAAUGGGGGAAACCCUGAUGCAGCGACGCCGCGUGAGUGAAGAAGUAUUUCGGUAUGUAAAGCUCUAUCAGCAGGGAAGAAAAUGACAGGACCUGACCAAGACGCCCCGGCUAACUACGUGCCAGCAGCCGCGGUAAUACGGAGGGGGCAAGCGUUAUCCGGAUUUACUGGGGGAAAAGGGAGCGUAGACGGUUAUGUAAGUCUGGAGUGAAAGCCCGGGGCACAACCCAGGGACUGCUUUGGAUACUGUGUAACUGGAGUACAGGUGGGGUAGGCGGAAUUCCUGGUGUAGCGGUGAAAUGCGUAGAUAUCAGGAGGAACACCGGCGGCGAAGGCGGCCUGCUGAACUGAAACUGACAUUGAGGCUCGAAAGCGUGGGGAGCAAACAGGAUUAGAUACCCCAGUAGUC
rnacentral:rRNA from 1 species